AUCAAGAAACAUGAUCAAGAUUAUAAUAGUGUUUCAGUCACUUUACUGGAUUCAAGGAGUUGCAGGGGCAAAUGAUGUCUAUCAGCCCCCUAUACUCUGGGCUGAAAAGGGACAAUCAGCCACAAUAGACUGCUCACACACCAAGGGUGCAGCUUAUAGAGAAAUGUACUGGUAUCGUCAGUAUCGUGGAGAGAGCAUGCAGCUCAUAGUUUUCACUACCAGCUUUGGAACUCUGGACUUUGGAAAACUAACCCAACAUAAAUUUUCAGCUAAUAAAACAGUUCCUGAGAGAGGCUCUUUCACAGUGAACGAUGUGGAUAAUAAAGACAGCGCUGUGUAUUUCUGUGCUGUGAGAGAACACAGUGCUAUAACCACAAGGCAGAGCUGUACAAAAACACACUGUGUGUCAGUCAGGAAGAUGUGGAGACACCUAAAGAUGGCAGCAUGA